AAAUGCCCUUAUAAGGUAGAAACCGAUAGGCUGCUAUACAAACAUGUAAAGCAUAAGCAGCCAACUUUGAGAGAGCUGCUUUUGUGAAUGGACAUGUAUGUUCAAUAACGAAACAAAGUGAGAUCGUUUUUAAGUGAAUCACAGGCUGAUACUUACCUCAUCGACCAGAUUUGGUCGAAAUAUACUUCCUCAAAAAUGGAUUUGGUAACAACUAUGAAUUCCAGCGAUUCAGUGGACGUUUCUCACAGGAAAUCAGCACUCAGAGGAAAGAUAAACUGUUACACAUAAAAUGUGAGGUAAGAUUAAGUAAAAUACACUGCAAGAACUGAAAAAUGUUAAUAUAGAUAAUCGAUAACGAAAUGUUGUUACUGAAUAUUUGGGCAUGUUCACUAUGUACAGUGAAACUCCCAUUAGUGACAUAACUUUUAAGUUGUGAAAAAUUGCUAUGGAACAUAACAAAAUAGAAUAGAACAGAAAUGGCUGAAGUCAAAGAGCUGCUCCAAGAGAAGUUCACAACCCAAGUACUUAUUGCAGAAGAGCACUUAUUGACAGCUCACACAAAGCAAUUCUACAGCAGCUGCUAAAAUAAAGCUCAAAAAUAUAAAAUGCAUCCAUAAGGACUGGGGGAAAAACAUACAUAAAAGUACUGCAUGUAUAGAAAAAUAUUAAGGUAAGUAAUGAACAUAACAUAAGGUAAGUAAAGGUAAUGUGCUGUUAUUGCAGUAUAGUUUCAAAAGUAACAAUUUAAGCCUAAUUUAAAAAAAACAAAAAAAAAACAUGUAGUACCUUAUAAUCAUUACAAAGGCAUGUGGCACAACAACAACAACAACAAACCAGUCGCUGCACAUGCUGAUUGUAUGAAUCUGCUGAAUCUUCCAAAAUAAUGGUAUGGCAAAGUUAUACAGUAAAGUUCUGCAGUACUUUUUGUCAUGAUAUGAAUAGUUACAUCGACGUCACCUUGCCUAUUAUUUAUUUGUUUGUUUGUACAAGGCUUACAUUUCUGAAAAUGUGUAACAAAGCGAACUUUCAACGAUUGUAACAGAUUAAUGAACCGUUUCAUACUCAUCAAGAAAAAUGGCUCAGAUUUGAGACGGCCCACUUAAUAUUUUAGUCUAUAUAGGCUUACAGAAAGUAAACAAGUUUAGUAAUCUCAUUUUGCAAGCAUCAUAGUGUAGUCUUGUUUACUUAAUGCAGUAUGUAAAAAUAAAUAAAUGCAAUCGUAAUGUUUAGUGAACCAAAUAUCAAUACCCCAUCACAUUUAUUUCAGUAUAUCUUUAGUUAACUGGUGCAUAGCUAAAAUACAAAAAUAAUAGAUAAACUGAAACAAGAUUUAAAGUUUCUGUAUCAUAAUAGUGGUGACACUAAAGACUGAUAGAAACAUUAAAGGUCACUAUUAUGACUGUAAGGUCAUUACAAUGACAAAAACAAUGACCUCCCUUGCCAAGCAAUGACCUUGCUUAGCAAGUUCUAAUGUCACUUAUGUCUACUUCCAAAUAUCAUUUGAAUACCAUUUGAAAACCUACAACCUGUUUCAAUAAUCUAUUGUACUAGUAUAAAAUAAGUGUAUAUAAGCAGAUCUUGUCAAGUUUCAGUACUUCAUUAUGUGACUAUCUAUAGCACAUUUGUAAGUUUAAGUAUAGAUUUUGUUAUAUGACAUGUUUUUUUGUUAACUUGCCACAGAUGUUUGCCUACUAGUAAUGACUAUAUUUCAAAACUCUAAUUUAAUUGUUAAUAGUUAAUAAUUCAGGGUAGACAUGGUCUUUUAUAUGUUUCAAAGCAUCAGUCAAUGUCUUCUGAAACACUCUAGCCUAGACAGUCAAAUCCAGUAUUAGCAUUAUUAAUAAAAAAAAAAAUAAAAAAAAAAAAA